rnacentral:rRNA from 1 species
ACCUGGUUGAUCCUGCCAGUGAAAUAUGCUCGUCUCAAAGACUAAGCCAUGCAUGUGUAAGUUCAUAUCGAUUUAAACGAUGAAACUGCGAAGCGCUCAGUAAAUCAGUUAUGGUCUCUUCAAUGAUAUAAACCAUGGAUAACUAUGGCAAAUCUAUAGCUAAUACAUGUGUCAGCCGGGUUCUAAGGUAAAACAAGGGACUCGGAGCAUUUAUUAGUUAACAAAACCAACAACAUGGAUCGGUACAAAGCAAUUUGUAACGGUUUAUGAUUUAGUUGAAAGUGAAUAACUGUGUAUAUCGUAGUGGUCUUGUACCGACGAUAGUUUGAUCGAAUUUCUGCCCUAUCAACUUGUUGGUAGGGUAGUGGCCUACCAAGGUUGUGACGGGUAACGGGGAAUCAGGGUUCGAUUCCGGAGAGGGAGCCUGAGAAACGGCUACCACUUCCAAGGAAGGCAGCAGGCGCGCAAAUUACCCAAUCCAGACAUUGGGAGGUAGUGACGAGAAAUACCGAGGCGGGGCUCUAAAAAGCUUUGCUAUCGGAAUGAACGUAACUUAUAUAAUUCGCUGAGUAACAACUGGAGGGCAAGUCUGGUGCCAGCAGCCGCGGUAAUUCCAGCUCCAGUAGUGUAUUUCAAAAUUGUUGCGGUUAAAACGCUCGUAGUCGAAUUAUAAGAACGUUAAUUUCAACCUUUGCGUGCGUAUGCAGUAGCAAAUGGUUGGGUGACGUUCUUUUGUCGCAAGUACUAAAUGUGGGCUUAAAUGCUUGUGUUUAGUCGCUUGCGAAGCGUGCCUUGAAUAAAGCAGAGUGCUCAAAGCAAGCGUAACGCUGGAAUGUAAUAGCAUGGAACGAAUUGAAUAGCGCAGGUGUUUUCCAGUUGGUUGGUGGGAUUGUUGGGAUAUUUGGUAGCAGUUGUUCGAAAGAAUAGCUGUGUGUCAAGUAUUCUGUCAGUCCACUUGAUAUGGUAACAUAUUAGGUACGGGAUAGCCUGUCGGUUAAGAGGGACAUUUGAGGGCGUUAGUACUUGGUGGCGAGAGGUGAAAUUCUUAGACCCACCAAAGACUGACAAAUGCGAAAGCAUUCGCCAAGAGUGUUUUCAUUGAUCAAGAACGAAAGUUGGAGGUUCGAAGACGAUCAGAUACCGUCCUAGUUCCAUACAGUAAACGAUGCCAACACGUGGUCAGUCUGAAGUUUUUUAGAUUGAGGUUGGUCACCCAGGGAAACUGAAAGUGUUCUGGUUGUGGGGAGAGUACGGUCGCAAGGUUGAAAUUUAAAGGAAUUGACGGAAGGGCACCACCAGGAGUGGAGCCUGCGGCUUAAUUUGACUCAACACGGGACAACUCACCAGGUCCGGACAUCGGAAGGAUUGACAGACUGAUAGAUCUUUCAUGAUUUGAUGAUUGGUGGUGCAUGGCCGUUCUUAGUUGGUGGAGUGAUCUGUCAGGUUUAUUCCGGUAACGAGCGAGACCACGAUGUCUAGUUAAUGGCUAAAUCGCGGCAACCAUUUCGAUGGUCCAAGAGGAAAUGAAAAUAUAUCAAGUAUAAAUUGAAUGGCAACAUUUAGUUUGUAUUUGAUGUGUUUUUGUUUAACCUGUGCGUUUUGGAUACUAGACAGACAACCGGAGAACCAAGCCGGGGGAAGCGUGGCAAUAACAGGUCUGUGAUGCCCUUCGAUGUUCUGGGCUGCACGCGCGCUACAAUGGCAGUGACAGAAAGGUGCCUGGUCGAGAGACCUGGCAAAACUGGAAUCGCUGUCGUGAUUGGGAUUGAGCUUUGUAAUUUGCUCAUGAAAGAGGAAUUCCUCGUAAGCGCGAGUCACCAACUCGUGUUGAAUACGUUUCUGCCCUUUGUACACACCGCCCGUCGCUACUACUGAUUGAAUUGGUUUUUGAAGCAUAGAGAUUGGUGAAGCGUUGUUAUGGAGCAAUCUAUAACUAUUUGUUUUGCCGAGAACCAUCCUAAAAAAGUCGUUCGAGAGGAAGUAAAAGUCGUAACAAGGUUUCCGUAGGUGAACCUGCGGAAC